rnacentral:lncRNA from 1 species
AGUUUCUCGGUGGUCUUAUUCCACAAUCCUCACUCUGCAACACCAACAUUACCCACUACCAUCUGCACAAUCUCAUCAUCUUCUUCAUCUUUCAGACCAAGAAAAACUCCUUCUUCUUCAACUAAUCGCAUCUUCCCCAUUAAUCAACCUAAACCAUUAAUCAAAAAGCUUCAAAUCGAAACCCUAGCCGCCAGAGACACAAUCAUAGAUUUCGGCAAACACAAGGGCAAAAUGCUCGGUUCUUUGCCUUCUUCUUACCUCAAAUGGGUCUCUAAGAAUCUUCGCGCAGGAGAUUCUGAGUUCUGGGCAAAGCUUGCGGACGAAGUGCUCGAGGACGAUGUUUAUAAAGAUAGGACUGAGUGGGAAUUUGCAGAGAAAAUCCUCCGUGGAAGUGAUGAGAGCAUGAAG